rnacentral:rRNA from 1 species
AGCGAACGCUGGCGGCAGGCCUAACACAUGCAAGUCGAACGGACCCUUCGGGGUUAGUGGCGGACGGGUGAGUAACACGUGGGAACGUGCCUUUAGGUUCGGAAUAGCUCCUGGAAACGGGUGGUAAUGCCGAAUGUGCCCUUCGGGGGAAAGAUUUAUCGCCUUUAGAGCGGCCCGCGUCUGAUUAGCUAGUUGGGGAGGUAAUGGCUCACCAAGGCGACGAUCAGUAGCUGGUCUGAGAGGAUGACCAGCCACAUUGGGAAUGAGACACGGUCCAAACUCGCACGGAAGGCAGCAGGGGGGAAUCUUGGGCAAUGGGCGAAAGCAUGAGGCUGCCAUGCCGCGUGGAUGAUGAAGGUCUUAGGAUUGUAAAAUCCUUUCACCGGUGAAGAUAAUGACUGUAGCCGGAGAAGAAGCCCCGGCUAACUUCGUGCCAGCCGCCGCCGUAA